CCUACGGGGUGCUGCAGUGAGGAAUAUUGGUCAAUGGACGCAAGUCUGAACCAGCCAUGCCGUGUGCAGGAAGAAGGCUCUAUGAGUUGUAAACUGCUUUUGUACGAGGGUAAACGCAGAUACGCGUAUCUGUCUGAAAGUAUCUUACGAAUAAGGAUCGGCUAACUCCAUGCCAGCAGCCGCGGUAAUACGGAGGCUUCAAGCGUUAUCCGGAUUUGUUGGGUUUAAAGGGUGCGUAGGCGGUCGGAUAAGUUAGAGGUGAAAUCCCGAGGCUCAACUUCGGAAUUGCCUCUGAUACUGUUAGGCUAGAGAGUAGUUGCGGUAGGCGGAAUGUAUGGUGUAGCGGUGAAAUGCUUAGAGAUCAUACAGAACACCGAUUGCGAAGGCAGCUUACCAAGCUACUUCUGACGUUGAGGCACGAAAGCGUGGGGAGCAAACAGGAUUAGAUACCCCUGUAGUC
rnacentral:rRNA from 1 species